rnacentral:rRNA from 1 species
CGGCCCGAUCCUCCCACCCUUUGUGUACCCACCUCUGUUGCUUUGGCGGGCCGCGGUCCUCCGCGGCCGCCCUCCGUCCGGGGGGUGGCCAGCGCCCGCCAGAGGACCAUCGAACUCCGGUCAGUGAACGUUGCCGUCUGAAAAACAAUCAAUAAACUAAAACUUUCAACAACGGAUCUCUUGGUUCUGGCAUCGAUGAAGAACGCAGCGAAAUGCGAUAAGUAAUGUGAAUUGCAGAAUUCAGUGAAUCAUCGAAUCUUUGAACGCACAUUGCGCCCCUCGGUAUUCCGAGGGGCAUGCCUGUUCGAGCGUCAUUACAACCCUCAAGCUCUGCUUGGUGUUGGGCACCGCCCUUCCGCGGGCGCGCCUCAAAGACCUCGGCGGUGGCGUCUUGCCUCGAGCGUAGUAGAAAACACCUCGCUUUGGAGCGCACGGCGCCGCCCGCCGGACGAACCUUUUGAACUUUCUCAAGGUUGACCUCGGAUCAG